AGAGUUUGAUCAUGGCUCAGGAUGAACGCUAACGGCAGGCUUAACACAUGCAAGUCGAGGGGCAGCGGGGUGUAGCAAUACACUGCCGACGACCGGCGCACGGGUGCGUAACGCGUAUGCAACCUACCCAUAACAGGGGCAUAACACUGAGAAAUUGGUACUAAUUCCCCAUAACAUUCGAAGAGGCAUCUCUUUGGGUUGAAAACUCCGGUGGUUAUGGAUGGGCAUGCGUUGUAUUAGCUAGUUGGG
rnacentral:rRNA from 1 species